ACUGCCGUGGGACCCCGGUGUGUGGUCACCUCCCUGCCAGCUCACACCCGCACCCGCACCCCUUCCUUCUGCCUCCCCUUGCUCCCAUGCCCCUGCCCCUUCAGGGAGGGAACCCAUUCUCUUGAUUUUACUUUUGGGACUAAUUAAACAAGUUCCAAGUUUCACACCUCUCCAUCUUCCUCGACAGCCUACUUGGGGCCUCCACCUUGAGCCGUCCACCUCUCCUAGAAUUUUGGGUCAGGCCCAAGCAUGGGUGCCUUACCUUAAGGGAAAGCAGAGUCUGCAGUCCCAGGCAAAAUUCAGGGCUGUCCACAUCUGCAGGAACCGUUGGAAAAUGAGGUUGCAUCUCUGACUGAUGACCUCCUCUGAGCACUCACCCCUUUCCUUCCCAGUCCACCCCAAAGUUGAGAACAGCAGAGAGGCUGAUAAUCUGAGCGUCUUGGGACCGUGUGCUGACAGGCUGAAAGCCUCUACCCUUGUCCCGUGCAGAAGAGUCCCUGACCUAGGCCAGGCUCCACCCUUUCCUGCCAGAGCUGCCUCACCAACCUCUCCCCACUUAAAAGCGAUAUGUACUGAGAUACAGUUUGUAUGCCAUCAAA